GAUCGUGCGAGAGCCACGCCCAUUGGUCACCGCCCCGCACAAACCCUACCCUUUCCAGCACUCCCAAAUCGAUGCAGCCGCCUCCACUCUCCCUCUCUUCCUCCCCCAACGCGCCGGCCGCCUCCACCUGCCAUACCGCCUCCCCGCUGCCGCCAUGGCCUCUUCAGGAGGCACGCCCCUCCAUAGUGCGAAGCAGGAGACCAGGAUCCGAAUGAGGAAGAGGAGAUCCGGGCGCCCCAACGGUGGAUCAAUCGAUGCGAGGUGACGACGAGCUCCUCCGGACGUGGGGGAGCAGCCAGGCUGGAGAUCCAGUCGGCGCAUUCCCCACUGGGUUGGGGAGACGCCGACAAUAGGGGCAAGGGGCAUCUGGGUCGAAGCUGCAGCGCUCCGGUCCCCAAGCCGCCUCCAGGCUCGCUUCCUCCUCCAUCCUCCCGCAUCUCAUCCAUCUCGACGGAUACGAGGCGUGCAGGCAUGGAGUCGAGGUUCUCCGGCGGCGGCAGGAACCUCCAGGCAGAGAGCGACCCCAUGGAUCCGUCCCUGCAGGAGAGAAGGAAGGAGAGGAGACAUGCCAUGGAGAUGGGAUGAGAACGUCCAUGGCCAGCCAAUCGACCCCCACCUCCGGUGCGCGACCCCAUGAAGGAUUUUGCGCUGCCGCCUUCUUUCGCCGGUCCAUGCCCUGGAAGAGCGACACCAGCCAGGCAUUGUAUGGGAAUGAAGCAAAAAGCAUGAAGAAAAUAGAGCAGGUCGUGUGUCAUCGUGCAUGUAGUCUACCUUCCAUUGGCGUUACUGCACCUGGUUAUCUACAGAGGAAGGCAAGGAUAACUAGAUUAAACAUUUCACAAGACCCUCCCAAUUACAGGCACAAACUCCUUUCAAGAUAUUACAAGUGUGGUUGAUUACGGGAGAUUGUCAAAUGAAAAGAAGCUAUAUCCUUUAUAUUUAUCUAGAUGUUUAAUUAGCUGCACAACCAUACGUGAUUCUAUAAGGAAACUAUUUAUCCUGAUGAUCUUGAUAUCCAAUCAUGUAUUACAGUAUUAGUAUAGGCUGUAAUUUUUGGCUAGGAAUCUAUAUGUACAGUUAUGUAUGAAUGGGCUAUGAUUCUUUUUUCCUUCUGAGUAGAUUCUUUUUUUAUUCACUCCCUGUGAAAUAAUUUCAGAGCUACUGUGUUGUAGUAAUUAUUUGGCACAUCCGUAACUCAACCAGUUUAUGCGUGUUGAUUUAGUGUGUAUUUGGUUCCAAAGUGAACAAAUUAUUGGCCUUCGCUAGGCAAGGAUAGGUGUUUGGUACCAAAGAAAAAUUAACUUUGUCAAGCUAACUAGCACACAUGGUCUGAAGCAGCUACUUUUUAUAUCCCUGGACUAUAGAUAUUACAUGCAUCAGUACUUGAUGCAUCUAUGAUAUGCUUUUGCUAUUUAUUGUGGCCCUUAAUACUCUGCUGUGAACCCAGUGUUUAGGUUGCAGGCUCAACUAUAUAUCCAUGGAUGUUACCCAUAUGGCAAUCUAUAAUUCUAUAUGAAUUUUGUAGCUAGCUUGAAGCGAAUGUGGUGAUCAAGGCUCUAAUCUGCAUUCUUUAUUUGCAUGAAUGUCGUGUGCAGAUAGGUACUAACCAUGGAAUAUUUUCCUCAUUGACAACAAGUACUCCGAUAACAAUUUAUAAAAAUUGAUAUAAUUUCACAAGUAUACAGAUAGCCGACAAGGCAGCAAUGCUAUUGUUCAAAUGUAGUUGAGUUGAGCUUUAGGUGUUUCAGUAACAGUGUUGCGUGCGUGCUUUAUUUGUUUGUUUCGGUUUCUUAUGCUGUUUAUUUCAUUUAUACUGCUUCCUGUGCUAGGAUGUGCCUUGCUGUGUCAUUUGUGAUCCCAUUUUUAGACCCUGGUGGCUCAGUUUUGUUUGCCCGCUCUUUCAUGCGUGUGUGAGAUUAUUGACGAUGGGGUUGUGCUUGUUGGGGUGGAGCCAAAUCAGUGUCUCCCUGCCGCCAGUUAGGGUGUUCUUCUGGGCAACUGGCGGUACGGGGGCACUGUCCGCCUAUGAGCAGGCUGCUUUGCAAGCUAUAGAAUUCUUACAGGAACGAUGUAAAUCAUGUUGCUGUUGAUUAGGAUGAUUCAUAUACAACUUGGGUCUAUAUUUUUAUUAGCCUGAUUAGGGGAGAGAGAGAGGCAGGGAGGUGCCUAGGACGAGUAGGAAGGCUCUGGGCAAAAUUUUGCCGAUCCUGUGUAAGUUUUGGUUUGCCCAGUUAAACGUGUACACUUCAUGUCAUAUAGCAUAAUAAUAGCAGAUGAUAAACUAUCGUUGUCAUAUUAUUGAACUUGAUAUCCUGUUUGAACUAGACAGAUAAUUUUGACAAGAUUUUAUCCUAGCGUAAACAUGCUGUCAUAGUGUCAACACAAUAAUAAUAGAAAAAGCUUUUCAAAAUUCAGGUGAGGUGAAGCAAGCAAGCACCUCCCCGUGUUUUAUAUUUGAGAUCGAGGAGAGAGCAAGCCAUUGCAGAGGUGAGGGGAUACGAGGGUGGGCAGAGGUCAGGCAUUGCUAACAGAUUUGCGGCGGAGUGGGAGAGGUGAUGCCGGCCGGCCGACGCCUCACCACCGGCUCCUGUUUGGCGGUGGCAAAGAGAAGGGUGCCGAGGAUGUGUUGCUCUAUGCAUGGCUGUUGAAGUACAUCAUCGUUAUGAUGUGUAUGGUUUCUCUAUUUUCAGCCCUACUGCUCUAGAGCCCAAAUCCCAUGACCAUGCCCCCACCUCUCCUUCGUUGAAUGAAGGGAGUCUGGUUGCUAAAAAGUGAGUUUUCUUAAUCAGUAUGUAUGGUCCCUCUGCAUAUGCCAUUUCUUCAUAUUUAAGAGGCCCUCAAGCUUUGUCAGUUUUCUAAUAGAUAUGGAAUUUUAAUUUGAUAGUCCCAACAACGGUGGGUACUGAUGGAGCUAUCUAUUAUUUAUUGUUAAUUUGUAAUACUUUUGUCAGCUUCUAGCAUGUCGUUGCUCUACCAGAGUGCAAUUUUCUCUGCGUGGCAUACACCAGUUACCAUUAGUUGAUAUGUUUGUUGAAGUUUUAUUGCAAGUUAAAUAAAUGUGUAGUGUGGCAUACUGAUUAUUAUAGUUUGAUAAUGUCAGGCGCCGAUGGAUUUAUAGAUAUGUAAAUAAAAUACCUUUAAGUAAAACUAAGCAUUUAAUUAUUGUUCUGUUAUGUUAUUGAUUUCACCGGCUUUAUGUCGGCCGAUUAGUUCUGAAGGAUUCCACAUCGGCUAAUUUAGAUUAUGUUACUAGAGUAUUAGAAGAAGUUCCUGAUAUAUGUAUUUAGAGAAUUUGCUGAGAUUUGAUACAAAAUAUUGAUGACCAGGCAUUAUACUGCGCAUAAGCACAAUUUUUUAGUUUUUCUUUUUAUUGUUGCAGCAGCUUUUCUAUAGCAAUAGCCAAAUAGUGUGACAUAACACUAUUCCAUUUUCAUAGGCCAUAACACAUCUUUACAUGUAAGUUUGUUCUCUAGAUAGUUCUAUUUCCAAGAUUUUCAUAUCAUAUUUGUCGUGGGAUCUAACUGCUUUACCAUAUUUUCCUGGUGUGGACGAUGUUAUAGAGUGAGCUACCAUCACUUCUCAUUACUGACUGUAAUCAAUAUAUAUGUGUUUAUGCCAUAAAAGAUGGAUAUUUGUUGAAGCCAUUGUCGUGUCAUGUAAUUACUUGCAGAUCAACUAUAUAGUUUUGUUCGGAUUGUAAAGUGGAAACGAUAAAACCCUACAACUCAUGUGUGAUUGUCAUUUGAUUAUUUACUUCCUCAAGUAGUAUGGAUAUGGUGCUGCCAGGAUAUUAAGUAUAUUCAUGAAGUUGUAUAAACCACGUUCUGUGAUUCACUUCUGUUAUGCAUAUUUACUUUCCAGUUUUAGGACUGAAAUCCAUCCAUUGUAAUGAAUUUGGUUGUAUGGGCAUUACCUAUUUGACUUAGGCUUGCUUCAUCACA